rfam:Triticum aestivum genome assembly, contig: Triticum_aestivum_CS42_TGACv1_scaffold_516779_6BS
AAAGUACUCCCUCCGUCCCAAAAUUCUUGUGUUAGAUUUGUAUAGAUACGGAUGUAUCAAGUCACAUUUUAGUAUUAGAUACAUCCAUAUCUAGACAAAUCUAAGACAAGAAAUUUGGGACAGAGGGAGUAGUUG